UGGAUGCAAAUCUACCUACCCCUGGGAGA
rnacentral:piRNA from 2 species